rnacentral:tRNA from 1 species
UAAUUAUUUAUUAUCAUUAUUAAAAGACAAAGUACAUAGGAAAUAAUAUUAGACGUUAUUUUAGAUGUUAGUUUGUUAUUGUGUAUAAGAUAAUUAUAUACAAUCCGAUGCAAAUUCCGCGAUAUUAGUUGACAAAGAUUUAAUUAAAUUAAAUUAAAUACUUAAUUAGAUUAAAUAUAAUUAAAUAAUUGGUCUAAUAAAUAUAAAAUGAUCGAAAUGCGAGGCAGUACGAAAUUCUUUUAUAUCUUUUUACGAAUUUCACGAAACGAUUACAUCAAUCUUCGCAAGUCAAUUAAUUCAACACAGCAUGAAGAAAAAAAAAUGCUCCAGGUGAGGCUCGAACUCACAACCCCGGCAUUGCUCACGAACACUGUCAUAUAAGUACCGUGCGCUAACCAAUUGCGCCACUGGAGCUGUUGGGAAUAAGGCCACUCCAACUGACUCUUGAAGCCUGGUAUUAAUAAUAUCGAAAGUAUCUUUCUUUAAUUUUAUGAAUCGUCGAUCUUGGCACAGCAGAUCGAUUCGAAUUUAUAAUUUUACAUAUAUCGGUCUAGAGAAAAAUUAUAUCUUGAUUCUACCUCGUGAAAUAUGUCGUCUAUAUAUAUAGACGGUAUUAUAUGUGUGUGUGUGUGUGUGUGUGUGUGUGUGUGUGUGUGUUCGAAGAUUUUUAUUCGCCUUUUUAAUUUUAAAGUUCUGUUUCAAGACGGUGCAUCAUGCGCUUGACCCUAGUUGACCCCAAGACUGAAAUAUUAGCGAUUUUGAAUACAAAGACCGCUAUUCAUAGUCGGCUCUUAUAUUUAAGUCCGUCUUAAGUUUAUCUGCAGAUGCUAUAUAGAUCAUUUCAUUGACUGUAAAGUACAUCUAAAGAUACACUCAAGACGGUCCUUAAAUAUAAAAUUCGACUAUGAAUACCGGCGAAAGAGAAUACAGUAAUAAAUAUCAUGUGUGAAUAAGUGAACUCUAAUCUGUAUUAUCGAAUUUGGUCGGUAACUUAUUUUAGGUGUUCACGCGCAAAGGUUGCCCAGAUGGCGCAAGAUCGUCCCCUCCCCUCCACCACUUUUGCAAAGGCGAGACUCGGGAUUGCGAGUUGCUUUCAGUGCGUCGCCGUGUGAGCUUCGUACUGGGGCAGUAUCGGUACUUACACCACGUCACUCCACAUUGCUCCACAUUGCACCCAGUAAUAAUCUAUUUCUACAUUUAUGCAUGAACAGUGUAAAAGUGUAAACUAAGACCGCGUUGGAUCGCACGCUUUCGCGCUGAUAAGUGUCACUUGUGUCAUUCGUUUUGUGGGGUUGGUUUUGUGAGCGCUCGCAGAGGCCACGCAUGACAUUACUACGACAUUAUUAACGUUCCUUUCGAACGCUCAUUUCGUCAAGUGUGGCAAAAGCGUGAGUGUAUUGGGUAUACUAAAAGCGAAGCAUAGCAAAUGUUGCUAAUCAAUAAACAUGACGCCUAUUUCAAUCGAUUUGAAGGAUGCAAGUAUAGUAUCAGACAAAAUCUCUACUCGUUAUUACUGCAUGGAAUACAUGAAGGUGAAGUAAGAUACUGACGCACUCACCAGCUGUAAACAAGAAGUUGACAUCGAAUGAUAUUGAAUAUGUUGUCAUUGAAUUCGUGAGGAGGACUACAAACGUAAGUGUUUAAGGUAGGGUCCCAUUAAACAAUAUGAAGGUGAUUAUUUCAUUAUUUCUCCUUGACAUUCGCCGUAGGGCCAAACUAUUAGCAUUACAAUACGCUUUUUUUAAUCUUACAAUUUUUGUCUAAAACAGUUCUUUCCAUUUUAUACUUUUUUCUAUAUUUAAGCGUCUCAAAGUAAAUGCCGCAUAGGUAAUAACUGAAUAACAUCAUAAUCGACAUUCUAAAUAUAAAAAAAGAAGGUUGAAUGUGUGUGCUUUAUUUCUACUUGCUCUAUUUUAGUAAGCUAUCACGCAAGAUUUCUACUCGAUUUUUAGUUUUUUUUAUUAUUGCUGCAUGGAGUACAUGAAGGUGAAGUAAGAUACUGACGCACUCACCAGCUGUAAACAAGAUCUGCAAUUAAUUUGGUGCUUUUACUUCUAAUUAAUCAUAACUCCGUUUUGGAUUCAAAUAUGUUCCUGUCAUUUAGUCAGUUUCAAAGUGCCAUCCUUAAGAUUUAAAAUACGCUACAUAGCUCAAAAAGCUCAAAAAAGAUUUGUUACCAAGGAUAGUUAAGCUUCAUCCUAAUAUAUGCAAGGUACGGUAUAUGUAAUAACGCUAUAAUCAUCAUUGUUUAUUAAACAUCAAAAAGGAAAGCUAAAUGUGUAUUUUAUAUCUUUUUACUUUAUUUUAAUUACUAAUUCUUAAUAUUGGUUUGUUCGGAAAGUGCGGUUUUUCACAUAGCCAAGUAUUCUAAGAUGCUGUUUAAGGAUCGAAUUAGAUAUGUGGGGUAUCUCCGCAAUGCCUCGCGUUAUGUAACGUCGAUUACUUUCAAUUAUUGUUGCAAUUUGGUCGUCAUCUACCGCAGAAGGCCUAUCUGAGCGUUCUUGAGUCUUCGAUGUUAACAUCAUCACUUUUGAAGCGAGCGAACUACUUCUGAACAGUUCUUUCAGCUGCUGCAUUACUUCUGUAAAUCUUUUUUGUUAUCUGAACGGCACUCUUGCUUUUUUUGAAAUAAAAUAACAUAAUGUG